rnacentral:sRNA from 1 species
ACUCAACACUUUACAAUUAAAAAGGGUGAGUUUUGAUUGCUAAAACAUGCCGUUAUACCUUUUGGUAUCAGACGGAAGUUUGAUCAGUCAUGUAGCCCUAAUCCUGUCUAAUAGGAGUUU